rnacentral:rRNA from 1 species
UACGGAGGGUGCAAGCAUUAAUCGGAUUUAUUGGGCGUAAAGGGCGCGUAGGCGGGUAAGUAAGUCAGUUGUGAAAUCCUGAUACUCAACAUCAGGACUGCAUCUGAAACUACUUAUCUUGAGGGUAGGCGGAGAAAAUGGAAUUCCACAUGUAGCGGUGAAAUGCGUAGAUAUGUGGAAGAAUACCUGUGGCGAAAGCGGUUUUCUAGCUUAUUUCUGACGCUAAUGCGCGAGAGCAUGGGGAGCAAACAGG